rnacentral:rRNA from 1 species
UACGAAGGGGGCUAGCGUUGCUCGGAAUUACUGGGCGUAAAGCGCACGUAGGCGGAUUGUUAAGUCAGGGGUGAAAUCCUGGAGCUCAACUCCAGAACUGCCUUUGAUACUGGUAAGCUCGAGUCCGGGAGAGGUGAGUGGAACUGCGAGUGUAGAGGUGAAAUUCGUAGAUAUUCGCAAGAACACCAGUGGCGAAGGCGGCUCACUGGCCCGGUACUGACGCUGAGGUGCGAAAGCGUGGGGAGCAAACAGG